GACGAACUGUCCAAACGUUGUUCGGAAUCACUGGGCUUAAAGGGCGCGUAGGCGGUCGAUCAAGUCAGGGGUGAAAUCCUGCAGCUUAACUGUAGAAGUGCCUUUGAUACUGGUCGUCUCGAGGGAGGUAGGGGUGUGUGGAACUUCCAGUGGAGCGGUGAAAUGCGUUGAUAUUGGAAGGAGCGCCGGAGGCGAAAGCGACGCACUGGACCUCUUCUGACGCUGAGGCGCGAAAGCUAGGGGAGCAAACGGG
rnacentral:rRNA from 1 species